rfam:Hordeum vulgare subsp. vulgare, WGS project CAJW01000000 data, contig: morex_contig_246531
UUAGUACUCCCUUCCCUCCGUCUGGAAAUACUUGUCCUAGAAAUGAAUAAAAUGGAUGCAUUUAUAACUAAAAUAAAUCUUGAUACAUGCAUUUUUAGGACAAGUAUUUCCGAACGAAGGGAGUAUUUU